UACAGAGGUCUCAAGCGUUGUUCGGAUUCAUUGGGCGUAAAGGGUGCGUAGGUGGCGCGGUAAGUCGGGUGUGAAAUUUCGGAGCUUAACUCCGAAACUGCAUUCGAUACUGCGUGCUUGAGGACUGGAGAGGAGACUGGAAUUUACGGUGUAGCAGUGAAAUGCGGUAGAGAUCGUAAGGAAGACCAGUGGCGAAGGCGGGUCUCUGGACAGUUCCUGACACUGAGGCACGAAGGCCCAGGGGAGCAAACGGG
rnacentral:rRNA from 1 species